GUGAGGAAUAUUGGGCAAUGGGCGCAAGCCUGACCCAGCAACGCCGCGUGAAGGAAGACGGUCUUCGGAUUGUAAACUUCUUUUGUCAGGGACGAAUAAUGACGGUACCUGGCGAAUAAGCCACGGCUAACUACGUGCCAGCAGCCGCGGUAAUACGUAGGUGGCAAGCGUUGUCCGGAUUUACUGGGUGUAAAGGGCGAGUAGGCGGAUUUGCAAGUCAGGUGUGAAAGCCCGGGGCUUAACCCCGGGUCUGCAUUUGAAACUGCGGAUCUUGAGUAUCGGAGAGGCAGGCGGAAUUCCCGGUGUAGCGGUGGAAUGCGUAGAUAUCGGGAGGAACACCAGUGGCGAAGGCGGCCUGCUGGACGACAACUGACGCUGAGGAGCGAAAGCGUGGGGAGCAAACAGGAUUAGAUACCCCUGUAGUCC
rnacentral:rRNA from 1 species